CCUACGGGUGGCAGCAGUGGGGAAUAUUGGGUAAUGGGCGCAAGCCUGACCCAGCAACGCCGCGUGAGGGAAGAAGGCUUUCGGGUUUGAAACUUCCUUUAAGCGGGGAGAACAGAAGACGGUACCUCUUGAAUAAGCCACAGCUAACUACGUGCCAGCAGCCGCGGUAAUACGUAGGUGGCAAGCGUUGUCCGGAUUUACUGGGUGUAAAGGGCGUGUAGGCGGGCUGACAAGUCAGAUGUGAAAUCCCGUGGCUCAAACACGGAACUGCAUUUGAAACUGCCGGUCUUGAGUAGCGGAGAGGCAGGCGGAAUUCCUAGUGUAGCGGUGAAAUGCGUAGAUAGUAGGAGGAACACCAGUGGCGAAGGCGGCAUGCUGGACGACAACUGACGGUGAGGCGCGAAAGCGUGGGGAGCAAACAGGAUUAGAUACCCGUGUAGUC
rnacentral:rRNA from 1 species